rnacentral:rRNA from 1 species
GAUUAACGCUGGCGGCGUGCAUAACACAUGCAAGUCGAACGAUGAAACGUAACUGAUUUCUUCGGAAUGAUUUUAAGUGGAUUAGUGGCGGACGGGUGAGUAACACGUGAGUAACCUGCCUUGGAGAAGGGGAUAGCCUUUGGAAACGAAGGAUAAUACCCUAUGAUAUGAUAAUAUCUCAUGAUAUUAUCAUCAAAGAUUUAUCGCUCUAAGAUGGACUUGCGUCUGAUUGGUUAGUUGGUGAGGUAACAGCUCACGAAGGCAGCUGUCCGUAGCCGGCUUGAGAGAGUGUACGGCCACAUUGGGACUGGGACCCGGCCCAGACUCCUGCGGGAGGGAGCAGUGGGGAGUUUUGCACAAUGGGGGAAACAAUGAUGCAGCGAGGCCGCGUGCUGUAGAAGGCCUUGGGGUUGUAAAAAUCUUUUGUAUGGGAAGAAAAUGACAGUACCAUACGAAUAAGGACCGGCUAAUUACGUG